UAUAGGAGCCAGGGUACACCUGGCGCGCUCUCUCCUCCGGUUCCGCUCGUCCGUAGUGGUGGCUGUGGAAGCUGCGUGGCGUGUUGCGUCGCCAAAAUAACGCACAUUCCCUCUUUCAGCGCAGUGUGGUGCGCCAGCAUUAGAGCGUCUUCAGCGUGUCGCCAGAACGACGCACGCUCUCUCCUUCAGCGCACGGUGUGGCGGACUGCUGGGGUCACGGGGCUGAGUUGCCCUGCUGGGGACUCUUCGGCGUUGUUGUGCGAUCUCCACGUGGUGCUGAGGGCCAGGCGGCGACCCAAUCCCUGGUGGUUGUUUCCUUCACAAACCCCCUGUGUGUGUGUGUGUGUGUGUGUGUGUGGGUGUGCAGUGUCACGGGUGUUUUUGGUUAGUUAUUCCUCCCCCCUUGUUCAUUCCGUUUUACGGCUCCAGUUUAAGUAAUUACGAGCCAGUAUUGAUAUAUUAUUUUUAUUGAUUACAAAAUAAACAUUUUUUAUACUUUUCUAAA